AAGGUCGGCUCAGACGGGACAGAAACCCGUCGUAGAGUGCAAAGGCAAAAGCCGGCCUGACUGGAUCCUCCACAGUAAGGGAUCCAGAGGCGAAAGCCGGGCUUAGCGAUCAUCCAUGUCCCCAUUGGUGGGGGCUGGAUGUGACAGAAAAAUUACCCCGGGGAUAACAGGCUUGUCGCGGGCGAGAGUCCCCAUCGACCCCGCGGCUUGGUACCUCGAUGUCGGCUCUUCCUAUCCUGGCCCUGCAUAAGGGGCCAAGGGUGAGGCUGCUCGCCUAUUAAAAGGGAACGUGAGCUGGGUUUAGACCGUCGUGAGACAGGUCGGACUUUAUCUGCUGGGAGUGCUGGCUGCCUGAGGGGAAAGGGUCCCCAGUACGAGAGGAACGGGACGCUGUGGCCACUAGUUUACCGGUUGUCCGACAGGGCAAAUGCCGGGCAGCCACGCCGCUGAGGAUAAGGGCUGAAAGCAUCUAAGCCCGAAGCCUCUCCCGAAAAUAGGCAGCCAUUCCCCUAA
rnacentral:rRNA from 1 species